GACGUAGGGCGCGAGCGUUGUCCGGAAUUAUUGGGCGUAAAGAGCUCGUAGGCGGUUUGUCGCGUCUGCCGUGAAAGUCCGGGGCUCAACUCCGGAUCUGCGGUGGGUACGGGCAGACUAGAGUGAUGUAGGGGAGACUGGAAUUCCUGGUGUAGCGGUGAAAUGCGCAGAUAUCAGGAGGAACACCGAUGGCGAAGGCAGGUCUCUGGGCAUUAACUGACGCUGAGGAGCGAAAGCAUGGGGAGCAAACAGG
rnacentral:rRNA from 1 species